UACGGAGGAUGCGAGCGUUAUCCGGAUUUAUUGGGUUUAAAGGGUGCGUAGGCGGCGAGUUAAGUCAGCGGUGAAAAGCCCGGGGCUCAACCCCGGCCCCGCCGUUGAAACUGGCUGGCUUGAGUUGGGGAAAGGCAGGCGGAAUGCGCGGUGGUAGCGGUGAAAUGCAUAGAUAUCAGGAGGAACACCGGCGGCGAAGGCGGCCUGCUGGACCGCGACUGACGUUGAGGCUCGAAAGCGUGGGGAGCGAACAGG
rnacentral:rRNA from 1 species